rnacentral:rRNA from 1 species
GGAGGAAAAGAACUAACAAGGAUUCCCCUAGUAACUGCGAGUGAAGCGGGAAAAGCUCAAAUUUAAAAUCUGGCAGUCUCUGGCUGUCCGAGUUGUAAUCUAGAGAAGUGCUGCCCGCGCUGGACCGUGUACAAGUCUCCUGGGAUGGAGCGUCAUAGAGGGUGAGAAUCCCGUCUCUGACACGGACUACCAGGGCUUUGUGGUACGCUCUCAAAGAGUCGAGUUGUUUGGGAAUGCAGCUCAAAAUGGGUGGUAAAUUCCAUCUAAAGCUAAAUAUUGGCGAGAGACCGAUAGCGAACAAGUACCGUGAGGGAAAGAUGAAAAGAACUUUGGAAAGAGAGUUAAACAGUACGUGAAAUUGCUGAAAGGGAAACGCUUGAAGUCAGUCACGUUGGCUGGGGAUCAGCCUCGCUCUUUUGCGUGGUGUACUUCCUGGUUGACGGGUCAGCAUCAAUUUUGACCGCUGGAAAAAGGCUUGAGGAAUGUGGCAGCUCCGGCUGUGUUAUAGCUUCUUGUCACAUACAGCGGUUGGGAUUGAGGAACUCAGCACGCCGCAAGGCCGGGUUUYGACCACGUUCGUGCUUAGGAUGCUGGCAUAAUGGCUUUA